rnacentral:rRNA from 1 species
CCUACGGGAGGCAGCAGUGAGGAAUAUUGGGCAAUGGACGCAAGUCUGAACGAGCCAUGCCGCGGGCAGGAAGACGGCGCGAUGAGGGGUAAAAUGCAUUUGUACGAGGGAAAAUCCCGAUACGUGUACCGGGUUGAAUGUAUCGUACGAAUAAGGAUCGGCUAACGCCGUGCCAGCAGCCGCGGUAAUACGGAGGAUUCAUGCGUUGUCCGGAUUUAUUGGGUUUAACGGGUGCGUAGGGGGUUCGUUAGGUGCGAGGUGAGAUCCCGGGGCUCAACCCCGGCACUGCCUCUGUUACUGUCGGGCUAGAGUUUAGUUGCGGUAGGCGGAAUGUCUUGUGUAGCGGUGCACUGCAUAGAGAUCAUGCAGAACACCGAUUGCGAAGGCAGCUUACCAAACUACGACUGACGUUGAGGCACGAAAGCGUGGGGAGCAAACAGGAUUAGAUACCCUGGUAGUC